CGACCUGCCCGGCCCGGCGCGGGCGGCCCCACUUACCGAUGAGCCGGCGCACCUCGUCCUCGCUCAGGUGAUGUGUCAAACAAAGAGCCUUGUGCUAAGGAGGAAUACAUGCCUUCGGGGAAGCUUCUGAUAAUCGAGAUCAUUUGUAGGACUUGGGCAAAUGUCAGACACUCUGAGGAGUGCUUAAUGUGCUCCAUGAGAUACAAGAAACCACUUCAUUCUAUAAGGAAUGUACCAGCAUCCAGUUUUCCAUAUGAGAAUGCAGCAAAUUUCCCAAGCUUUCACAAAGAGCAAAAACACUUUGGCUGUCUUUAGGAGAGGCAGAAGGACAAGAAUUGGGAAGACUUGCUAUCCAGUUUCUUCUGCUCUUGCAUUCAAGCCUCCGGAUCCUACUGUCUUCCUCUCAACCCAUCCCACAGCUCAAAACAGCCAGCUUUUAUAGAACAUCAUCUGUGUGCUGGCUCCAUCUCACUGAGUACUUGCUGCACCUGCACUGCUAGUGGGGUAGACACUCCUCCAUGAGCUGAGAUGUGGCCUCUGCCUUCCUGGGCUUAUAUUCCUGUGGGAAAAGUCCUGUAUGAAAGACCAGCAAAAAUUAUCCUUAUAAAAAGGAUUAGAUACAAAACCACGUGGGUUUUAUCCCAGGAAUGCCAGGUGGGAAUUCAGUGGUAUGAAGUCCAAGAUGGCCUCUCAUUUUGAGAAAAGGGAGAGACACUCAUCAGAGGAGCCGUUUCAGGCCUUGGGAACGGGCUGCACUUUGGAAUGUAAGGUAUCUACAGCUUCCUGCUUCUGGUAGAAAUGCAAGUUUUGUUUUUUCUCCAGCCAAUUUUUUAUUUCAGGACAAUCUUAGUUUGUAGAAUUUAUUACAAAGAUAGUACAAAGAGUUCCCCUGUACCUUGCACCCAGUUUUACCUAUUGUUAACAUCUUAAUUGGUUCGGUACAUUUGUCGCAAUCAAAGAACCGAUAUUGAUACAUUAUCAUUAACUAAAGUCCAUGCUGUAUUCAGAUAGCCUUACUUUGUCUCUGAUGUCCUUUCUCUGUGCUCUGACCCAGUCUAAGCUACCACAGCGCCUUU